rnacentral:rRNA from 1 species
GAGGAAUAUUGCACAAUGGGGGAAACCCUGAUGCAGCAACGCCGCGUGGGCGAUGAAGGCCUUCGGGUCGUAAAGCCCUUUUCUGAGGGAAGAGGAAGGACGGUACCUCAGGAAUAAGCCCCGGCUAACUACGUGCCAGCAGCCGCGGUAAAACGUAGGGGGCAAGCGUUAUUCGGAUUUACUGGGCGUAAAGCGCGUGCAGGCGGCUUAGCAAGUCGGACGUUAAAUCUCCUGGCUCAACUGGGAGGGGUCGUUCGAAACUGCUGGGCUUGAGGUUGGGAGAGGGAAGCGGAAUUCCCGGUGUAGUGGUGGAAUGCGUAGAUAUCGGGAGGAACACCAGUGGCGAAAGCGGCUUCCUGGCCCACACCUGACGCUAAGACGCGAAAGCGUGGGGAGCGAAC